UACGAAGGUCCCAAGCGUUAUCCGGAUUUAUUGGGUUUAAAGGGUGCGUAGGCGGGUUAUUAAGUCAGUGGUGAAAGCUCCUAGCUCAACUGGGAAAUUGCCAUUGAUACUGAUGAUCUUGAGUAUGAUUGAGGUAGGCGGAAUGUGUCAUGUAGCGGUGAAAUGCUUAGAUAUGACACAGAACACCGAUUGCGAAGGCAGCUAACUAAGUCAUAACUGACGCUGAUGCACGAAAGCGUGGGGAGCAAACAGG
rnacentral:rRNA from 1 species